CCUACGGGAGGCAGCAGUAGGGAAUCUUCCACAAUGGGCGAAAGCCUGAUGGAGCAACGCCGCGUGGGUGAAGAAGGUCUUCGGAUCGUAAAACCCUGUUGUUAGAGAAGAAAGUGCGUGAGAGUAACUGUUCACGUUUCGACGGUAUCUAACCAGAAAGCCACGGCUAACUACGUGCCAGCAGCCGCGGUAAUAAGUAGGUGGCAAGCGUUAUCCGGAUUUAUUUGGCGUAAAGGGAACGCAGGCGGUCUUGUAAGUCUGAUGUGAAAGCCUUCGGCUUAACCGGAGUAGUGCAUUGGAAACUGGGAGACUUGAGUGCAGAAGAGGAGAGUGGAACUCCAUGUGUAGCGGUGAAAUGCGUAGAUAUAUGGAAGAACACCAGUGGCGAAAGCGGCUCUCUGGUCUGUAACUGACGCUGAGGUUCGAAAGCGUGGGUAGCAAACAGGAUUAGAUACCCCGGUAGUC
rnacentral:rRNA from 1 species